AGGUGCGAUCAAAACAGUAUUAAUGUACGGGAUCCCAUCAGAACUCUGCACUUAAGCAUGCAUGGGCGAGAGUAAUGUUUUAAAACUCGGACUGGUUUUU
rnacentral:rRNA from 1 species